GACGAACGUUGGCGGCGUGCUUAAUACAUGCAAGUCAAAUGAAGAAGUGGUAGCAAUAUCGCUGUGUAGGUGGCGCAAGGGUGAGUAAACAGUAGGUAAUCUGCCUUCUGGUCUGGCAUUACUUCGGGGAACCGGGGCUAAUAGCAGAUGAUGCAGCGGCUCGACAUCGAGACAGUUGUUAAAGCUAUGCCGCCUGAAGAUGAGCCUGCGUUUGAUUAGCUAGUUGGGGGGGUAACGGCUCACCAAGGGAACGAUCAGUAGCUGGUCUGAGAGGAUGAUCGGCCACACUGGAACUGAGACUCGGUCCAGACUCCUACGGGAGGCAGCAGUAAGGAAUAUUGCGCAAUAUGAGAAAUCCUGAAGCAGCAACGCCGCGUGAGGGACGAAGUGCUUUUGCUUGUAAACCGCUUUAGUGAGAGAAAAAAAUCCCAAUCUUGGGGACAUGAUGGUAUCUCAAAAGUAAGCCCCGGCUAACUACGUG
rnacentral:rRNA from 1 species